GGACACCGCACUGGUCGAGGAAUGGCGAGCACCCAUUCGAGGUAAAGCCUAGCGCCGUGACAAGCUAACGUUCCAUUCCUUGCCCAUGCCAUAUGGUGCUGAAGUGUGAAGUUUUGCCAGCAGCCGACCUUUGCAAGUGUUGACAUAACGUUCCUUCUGUUUUCUUUAUCUUUAUUGCAAUAAAUAGCUUUUGAGAAAGAUCAUUAUUUUGCA